rnacentral:piRNA from 1 species
UGCCGUGAACUCUGUGCAGUUUUCAA